rnacentral:lncRNA from 1 species
UAGCAAUAGAUGGAUCCAUGUGCAUACCUUGUCCUUUCGAAGAACCCCUACCAGAAACUCCUCCCAAAGAUCCUUCAAAAUUUUUAUUUUCGUUCUUUAUAAAAAUUAAAAUAAAAUCAAACAAAAUCCAAUACCUUCCACCUCAAGCUUUCACGUCGAGUUCACCACUUAUGUCAUAUUACAUGCUUUCCUGCUCGAGAAUGCACCGAGCAUCUGGCUGUAGAAGGUAGUAUGGAGAUUCACUAAUAUUCAAGCAGUCUAUCAGUUUUUGACUGUUGGGAUAUAAACGAUUGCAAGAAUAUACUGUAAAUCUAUACAGAUGUCCUUCGACUGCUCGUCGAAAUCCUUUUUGCCCCAACCGGUAGGUCUCUAGACAUUACAGAGAACCCCGAACAAUCCAAUCUGCUAAUCUCCGAUACCGCUUUAUAAUCAUGAC